rnacentral:lncRNA from 1 species
UUUCAGGCUCAUUCUUGUCCUCUAUAUGUGUCUCCAUCUUUACCCCUUCCAGUGUCAUCCUAAUUGGGGCAAGAAAGACUUAACCUGCACUUUCCCUGUUCAUCCCCAAUCCAAAUGCCUAGCUGGUCUGGUCUAGAUUUCUCUCAUCUCCUGGGUUCAGUUCAUCAUAGGUUUGGAAGCACUUUGUGUCUUCAUAGUCCAUUAAAUGGCUUUGCCUUCUUAUUUUAAGAUCUUCUUUUUCUGCUAGGUCCUAGUUUGAGUGAGAUUCUGUUACUGCAACUAAGAGAUCCCUAUCUGAGACAUCUCAGUGACUCAAGAGGUAUUCUAAAUUCUACUUCAGUUCUAAGAGCUUAAAGUUUUGGCUUGUGUUACUUCCUUGGGGAGAUCUUGCUGGACCACAUCAGGAAUAGGAGGGGUGUGUCCCCACAGCACUGUGUACACGGAAAUGCAGAUGAUAACUCCUGCCUCCAGACCCCUCUCUGAGAUGAUUCUGAGACACAUAUAAAUGGGCUUUGCAAACUGUGGGCAGUAGAUGUGAGAACUCUUCAUCUUCCAGACAGGAUCCAAGGUCCUUUGGAAGGGACAGUGAGCGGACUGCAUCCUGCUUGCAUGAAGACCCUGAU